CCUACGGGUGGCUGCAGUGAGGAAUAUUGGACAAUGGGCGCAAGCCUGAUCCAGCCAUGCCGCGUGCAGGAUGACGGUCCUAUGGAUUGUAAACUGCUUUUGCACAGGAAGAAACACUACUUCGUGAAGUAGCUUGACGGUACUGUGAGAAUAAGGAUCGGCUAACUCCGUGCCAGCAGCCGCGGUAAUACGGAGGAUCCAAGCGUUAUCCGGAAUCAUUGGGUUUAAAGGGUCCGUAGGCGGUUUAGUAAGUCAGUGGUGAAAGCCCAUCGCUCAACGGUGGAACGGCCAUUGAUACUGCUAAACUUGAAUUAUUAGGAAGUAACUAGAAUAUGUAGUGUAGCGGUGAAAUGCUUAGAGAUUACAUGGAAUACCAAUUGCGAAGGCAGGUUACUACUAAUGGAUUGACGCUGAUGGACGAAAGCGUGGGUAGCGAACAGGAUUAGAUACCCUGGUAGUC
rnacentral:rRNA from 1 species